rnacentral:rRNA from 1 species
UACGUAGGGGGCUAGCGUUGUCCGGAAUCAUUGGGCGUAAAGCGCGCGUAGGCGGCCCGGUAAGUCCGCUGUAAAAGUCAAAGGCUCAACCUUUGAAUGUCAGUGGAUACUGCCGGGCUAGAGUCCGGAAGAGGCGAGUGGAAUUCCCGGUGUAGUGGUGGAAUGCGUAGAUAUCGGGAGGAACACCAGUGGCGAAGGCGGUUACCUGGAGCUUUGCUGACGCUGAUGCGCGAAAGCGUGGGGAGCGAGUCCGG